rnacentral:lncRNA from 1 species
GGUCUCUACUCUCGACAGCAUCAGCCGCUCUUAACUGCCUAUUUGAGGAGCAGCAGUCGUGAAGAAGCACACUAAUAUUCCUUUGCAGCAAGACGGCAGGACGUGAGCCCAGGCUCCUCCAGCUUGGUGACAUGAUAAGGAGAACAGCAGUACCAGACCGUGGCCAGGCCAGAUAAGCCAUGUGGAGUGGGCGGGCUGUUUUUCUCAAACUACUCCUUUUGUAGUAUGUAGCCCAACUAACUCCUGAGGCCCUUACUGCGCAGCUACGCUGCUUUUUAGUUAAAACCCAGAACCCCAGCAACAAACUGCAAAGAAAAAUGGAGGGCUUAGAAAAGGACCAUCCUUACUCGGGAUCUUCCCAGCAGCCUCCACCAGCCAGAGAGGAAUACACUGUGCCAGGGGCCAUCACGCACCGCCUGCGAGACCGAGAGCUGCUGAGGAAAAGGAAAGCAGAAGCACAGGAGAAAGAUACUGUCCAAGAGCGGGGUAAGAGCACAGGGCCCAAGAGGGGCCGAGGAGCUGGGAGAAGAAGAGGCCGACAGCAGGGUACAGAGCCAGAGCCUCAGCCUGACGUGCAAGAGGAGGUGGAGAAGGAGCCCCCAGAGAAAGCACAGGCAUCUCCAGGGCACCAUGAGGAGGAGCCCGCCCUGUCUGUGGCUCAAGAGCUGUCUGGUGGGACUCAGCAGGAGGCGGUAGAGGGCCCCCCUGCUCAGGAUAUUCUGCAUCCAGCAGGUAAGCGGUUAGAGACCCUCGGGGAUCAGAGCAUAUUCCCAGAGAACUCUCCCCUAGGUGCAUCCUUGGGGAGGAGAGGAAUUGCCCAGCCAGGCAAUGGAGCAGUGACUGGCUAGCUGCAGAGCCUCUUCCUCGCUCAGGCCUGCCUUUGUACACAGCGGCGACAAAGCUGCAGCAACCUCCUGGCACCCCGCUUGCUGAGCCAGUCUGUUCCAAACGGCAACCCCUGGGAAGGCCCCGCUUCCCUUGCCACAAGUGCCACAAGGCGGGAGUGGAGUGGAUAGCUCUGUCUAGGCCUUCGGGGAGGUCCUCGCAGCAGGGAUGUCCCAGACAGUCAGUGCAGAGGGGGCAGAGCCGAGCAGGGAACUGGGCCUGGGCAACAAGAAGGGGAUCCCGCCAAGUCCAGUCUAGGGUUACCAUUCGUCCGGAUUUACCCGGACAUGUCCUCCUU